rnacentral:rRNA from 1 species
AGCGAACGCUGGCGGCAGGCUUAACACAUGCAAGUCGAGCGGGCACUUUCGGGUGUCAGCGGCGGACGGGUGAGUAACGCGUGGGAACCUGCCCUCUGGUUCGGAAUAACUCAGGGAAACUUGAGCUAAUACCGGAUACGCCCUUUUGGGGAAAGGCUUGCUGCCGGAGGAUCGGCCCGCGUCUGAUUAGCUAGUUGGUGAGGUAACGGCUCACCAAGGCGACGAUCAGUAGCUGGUCUGAGAGGAUGAUCAGCCACACUGGGACUGAGACACGGCCCAGACUCCUACGGGAGGCAGCAGUGGGGAAUAUUGGACAAUGGGCGCAAGCCUGAUCCAGCCAUGCCGCGUGAGUGAUGAAGGCCUUAGGGUUGUAAAGCUCUUUUAUCCGGGACGAUAAUGACGGUACCGGAGGAAUAAGCCCCGGCUAACUUCGUG